AUAAAUAAAUAUUGUUUUUUAAGCUCUCCAUUCAAAAAUAAAUUUCAUCUAACAUAAGAAAUGAGUUGGUUAUCAGUUUUAUUUAAUAACCUUGAAGAUUGUUUAUUAUUUGUUGCAGGGUAUGUAUCAAUAAUCAAACGUGUGAUGAUUACACUCUCAUCAAGGUGGAUGUUGCAAACAAGCACAAUAUUUUGCUAAAAAUUGUUCAAGUUUUGAGUGAUUUGGACGUCGUCAUCUCAAUGCCCUGUAUUUCAUGCACUGGUGGUUGGUUUAUGGAUAAAUUUUAUGUCAUCGAUCCCCAAGGGCACCAGGUGAAUUAUGGACCUACAAUGGACAUGUUGUUUGCAUCCUCAAUUUAAAAGAACCAGACACGGGUCAGCCCAUCAUGGAUCCAAUUAGCAUUGAUUACUUGGGAGAGUAAUUGACAUGUAUUUUAAAGACAAAACGCUUCUCUAAGGGACUAUAAGGCUCCACAGCAUGUCAGAUUCAUAAGGAGCGGCGACAACAUCAUUUUAUGGAAAUGUACAUGAAUUACGAUGUCAAAUUUUGAUAAUUAUUAAUCAAGAGAGAUCAACUGAGUGUGGCUAUGAUCAUGGAGGACAAGAAGAGUUUUGGAAGUGCUAGUAAACGUAACAAUGUGGGGGUGCUUGCCAUAGGUGUUUGAUUGAAAGUUGGAAAAAUAUGGAUUACUUAAUUGUGAAAGUGAGUAGUAGUAAUAGACCUAAGUUGAUGUUUGAUGUAGUGCGUGCUCUAAUAGAUCUUGAUUAUAAUAUUUUU